UACCAUGCAAGUCGAGCGGAACGAAGUUAUCAGAACCUUCGGGGGACGAUAACGGCGUCGAGCGGCGGACGGGUGAGUAAUGCCUAGGAAAUUCGCCCUGAUGUGGGGGAUAACCAUUGGAAACGAUGGCUAAUACCGCAUGAUGCCUACGGGCCAAAGAGGGGGACCUUCGGGCCUCUCGCGUCAGGAUAUGCCUAGGUGGGAUUAGCUAGUUGGUGAGGUAAGGGCUCACCAAGGCAACGAUCCCUAGCUGGUCUGAGAGGAUGAUCAGCCACACUGGAACUGAGACACGGUCCAGACUCCUACGGGAGGCAGCAGUGGGGAAUAUUGCACAAUGGGCGCAAGCCUGAUGCAGCCAUGCCGCGUGUGUGAAGAAGGCCUUCGGGUUGUAAAGCACUUUCAGUCGUGAGGAAGGCGGUGUAGUUAAUAGCUGCAUCGUUUGACGUUAGCGACAGAAGAAGCACCGGCUAACUCCGUGCCAGCAGCCGCGGUAAUACGGAGGGUGCGAGCGUUAAUCGGAAUUACUGGGGCGUAAAGCGCAUGCAGGUGGUUUGUUAAGUCAGAUGUGAAAGCCCGGGGCUUCACCUCGGAAUUGCAUUUGAAACUGGCAGAACUAGAGAACUGUAGAGGGGGGGGUAGAAUUUCAGGUGGUGCCGGUGAAAUGCCGUAAAAAACUUAAGAGAAAACCGGUGUGCGAAGGCCGGCCCCUGGGACG
rnacentral:rRNA from 1 species